CUUCUGCCCCAGAGAGGACAAAUAUGAAUACCCAGACAACAGUCUCAUCUGUCUUUUUGCUAUAUGUGAGUCAAGGCAACAGGAAAACACUGUGGGGCAUCGAGCUGUGGUGGGUGCAAGGGCUUCUUCAGAUGCAGCAUAUGCAAGAGUAACGUUUAUUCUUGCAGGUUCCGUCGGCAAUGUUUUGUUGACAAGGCCAAAAGAAAUCAAUGUAGAUACAGUCAAUUAAGAAAGUGUUUUAGAGCAGGAAUGGAAAAAGAAGUUGUGCAUAAUGAAUGCAAUAGAACAAGCACCAGAAGAAGCACAUGUGAUGGCAGCAAUAUCCCCUCCAUUAACACACUGGCACAAGCUGAAGUUCUGUCUUGCCAGAUCUCAGUCUCAAGCCUUGGGGCAAGUACUGAUAUACAUGUUAAAAAAAAUAAAAUAAAAGUGUUGGUGAUGUCUGUGAAUUUCUGAAACAGCAGCUCUUAGUCUUGGUGGAAUGGGCUAAAUAUAUUCCUGCCUUCUGUCAGUUACCAUUGGAUGACAAGGUGGCGCUGUUGAGAUAUCAUGCAGGAGAACACUUAACUGCCUGGAGCUAUAAAGAGAUCCAUGAUGUAUAAAGAUAUUUUGCUUUUGGGAAACAACUAUAUUAUUCACUGCAACAGCUGUGAAUUUGAGAUUAGCAGUGUAAUCAGUCGGGUUCUAGUUGAGCUGGUUCAACCAUUUCAAGAAAUCCAAAAGGCAAUUGUAUUUUUUGGCCCAGAUGUGAAAGGGCUACACUUAAAUGGGCUACAUAGAUCCAAUAAACAUUAAGAACAUGCAAUUCCAAGGGCGGAUGGGUUUGGAGAACUCCGUCAAUGAUCCGCACGCAGUAUGGCUCCCUGGGGGAGGUUUGGAGAGUUGCUUCUGCUGCUGCCCACACUGCUGCGCAUCAUUUGGCAAAUGAUUGAGCAAAUAUAGUUUGUUUAAAAAACUUUUGCGGUUGACUUAAAUUGGCCACCUACUUCAGGAAAUGUUAAAUGGGGCUUCCAAUGAUAGUAGUCAUCUCCAUCAUCCAAUACAUCCACAUUCAUCUCAAGAUCCAUUAACUGGACAAACUGUACUUUUAGGUCCCAUGUACACACUGGUUCUUAUGAAGACCACAUCUGAACUCCUGAAACCCCACUCCCUUCCCCACCACAAGGCUUUGCACAAGAAGAUUACAGAACAGCUACAAAUCAAGCUUCAGUCAUUUCACCAGCCUCUCUUCAAACAAAAACAAUUGUGA
rnacentral:lncRNA from 1 species